CCCAGCCUGAAAAGAUUCAGUCUGCUGCCAGAGCUCGUCUGGAGCAGAGCUACUUAUUCGGAAAUAAAAUGUGUAAAAAAAAAAGAAAAAAACAAAAUUUUAAGUGAUGCGACAGAAUUUAAUUGGUAUAACUAUAUGUGGUAAUGAACUAGGAAUGCACACAAAAUGUUAUAUACUCAGCCAACCCACCAAGCUAAGCCACACGCACACACACACACGCACAAACAUUCAGUCACAUUCCCACACACACACAUGCACACAUUAUAUAACCAAUGAACCAGCCAUACAUAUAAACAACCACCCACCCAACGAUGCACCCACAAGCAUAGCCACAGACCCAUAUGUGGUCAGUGAUCUUUGGAAAUGAAAUGAAUGGAAGCAAUGGAAUACCAAUUUUAUGUUCAGAUGGUAUUGUAGUAUCGUCAUGAUGGCCCCCUCAGAAGUAAAAUGACUUAGGCUGAUGAUUUAUACAAAGGAAAUGAUGGGAACUUUGGUCUAAAAUACCCCAAGAAAGGUAUACGCGCUGGAAAAGGUACACCACCACCACCACAUCAUCAUCAUCUACACGGGGUAGAUCUAAACCCCGUAAUGAUGAGAAGAUCAAAUGAUCAGACGAUCAGGAGUGCAAGUCAGGAAUAUAUGGAACUUUGGCCUAAUACCUAAAGAAGAGUUUCAAAUAUCACCUGGAAAAAGCCCUCUAUCAUAUCCCUCUACACACAUGUUUGAAUGUUGUGAAUAUUUUCUGUACUGUACACACGCACACACACAAACACACACUGGAAAAGAUGGAACUUCUUAGGCCUAAUGCAGAAGAAGAGAUUAGGUUGCAAGUACCACCCCCCCCUGGAUAUCGUACAAAUCAAACCCUACACUUGUUGAAAUGAAAAUGUAAUGAAGAUCGUUCUUAAAA